rnacentral:piRNA from 1 species
UGGUCCAAUGGGAGGAAGCUCACCCCGGA